rnacentral:misc_RNA from 1 species
GCAAACUUGGUCAUUUAGAGGAAGUAAAAGUCGUAACAAGGUCUCCGUAGGUGAACCUGCGGAGGGAUCAUUACAGAAGUUGUUUUGAACAACGCAAAACCAUGUGAACAUACCACUGUUGCCUCGGCCGCCUGCGGCCGCGGGCGGGCAUGGCGCCUGCGCCUGGGAGGACCUACCCUGUAGUGCCACCCUGUAGCAGACACCUGCCCGGCCGCGCCGUAGCGGCCGCUGGCCUUACCAAGCUCUUGAAUCUUAGUGAAGUCUGAGCGUAUUGAUUUAAUAAGUCAAAACUUUCAACAACGGAUCUCUUGGUUCUGGCAUCGAUGAAGAACGCAGC